GACAAUGCUGUUCUUCUCUCCUGACAGAGGUUUACGACUCAGAAAGCCUUAAUCCCUCACGCGGCGUCGCUCCAUCAGACUUUCGUCCAUUGUGGAAGAUUCUCGA
rnacentral:rRNA from 1 species